rnacentral:tRNA from 1 species
UAAACUGAUGUCUGUUGGUUAAGGUAAAUAGCUGUUAACUAUUUUUUGCGGGAUCGAGGCCUGCCAGUUUU